rnacentral:rRNA from 1 species
UACGGAGGAUGCAAGCGUUAUCCGGAUUCAUUGGGUUUAAAGGGUGCGUAGGCGGACUAUUAAGUCAGUGGUGAAAGCCUGCAGCUUAACUGCAGAACUGCCAUUGAUACUGAUAGUCUUGAGUUUGGUUAAGGUAGGCGGAAUGUGUAAUGUAGCGGUGAAAUGCUUAGAUAUUACACAGAACACCAAUUGCGUAGGCAGCUUACUGAGCCGACACUGACGCUGAGGCACGAAAGCGUGGGGAUCAAACAGGA